UGCCUGGGCCGCGACUGGCGAAGGUGGACAACCACCGGGGAGCGACCGCAUUCUCGCGUGAGCGUCGACCGCCUGGGCGCCUGCG
rnacentral:ncRNA from 1 species